rnacentral:rRNA from 1 species
CUGGCCAGCGCAGCUUACACAUGCAGUCGAGGGGUAUUGGUUUUCGGACCAAGAGACCGGCGCACGGGUGCGUAACGCGUAUGCAAUCUACCUUUUGCAGAGGGAUAGCCCAGAGAAAUUUGGAUUAAUACCUCAUAGUAUAGCAGUUUCGCAUGAGACCACUAUUAAAGUCACAACGGCAAAAGAUGAGCAUGCGUCCCAUUAGCUAGUUGGUAAGGUAACGGCUUACCAAGGCAACGAUGGGUAGGGGUCCUGAGAGGGAGAUCCCCCACACUGGUACUGAGACACGGACCAGACUCCUACGGGAGGCAGCAGUGAGGAAUAUUGGACAAUGGGCGCAAGCCUGAUCCAGCCAUGCCGCGUGCAGGAUGACGGUCCUAUGGAUUGUAAACUGCUUUUGUACAGGAAGAAACACCUCUACGUGUAGAGAUUUGACGGUACUGUAAGAAUAAGGAUCGGCUAACUCCGUGCCAGCAGCCGCGGUAAUACGGAGGAUCCAAGCGUUAUCCGGAAUCAUUGGGUUUAAAGGGUCCGUAGGCGGUUUAGUAAGUCAGUGGUGAAAGCCCAUCGCUCAACGGUGGAACGGCCAUUGAUACUGCUAGACUUGAAUUAUUAGGAAGUAACUAGAAUAUGUAGUGUAGCGGUGAAAUGCUUAGAGAUUACAUGGAAUACCAAUUGCGAAGGCAGGUUACUACUAAUUGAUUGACGCUGAUGGACGAAAGCGUGGGUAGCGAACAGGAUUAGAUACCCUGGUAGUCCACGCCGUAAACGAUGGAUACUAGCUGUUGGGCGCAAGUUCAGUGGCUAAGCGAAAGUGAUAAGUAUCCCACCUGGGGAGUACGUUCGCAAGAAUGAAACUCAAAGGAAUUGACGGGGGCCCGCACAAGCGGUGGAGCAUGUGGUUUAAUUCGAUGAUACGCGAGGAACCUUACCAAGGCUUAAAUGUAGAUUGACCGGUUUGGAAACAGACUUUUCGCAAGACAAUUUA